AGCCUGGCUCAUCACCAAGGCCCCACUUCUCACUGACAAGACCCGCCCCCUUACAUGGAAGCCACGCCCCUUGCCCAACACCCCACCCCUCGCCCGAGCUGGUGGCACCCUGCCCAUCGCCCCGCCUUUGCCCCCAACUCCUCAACCGCUUACUCCAACCACCCUGGUCUCCAGGCCCAGGAGAGGCCCCAGACACUUCCCCGUGCCUGGUGUCUAACCCCGCAUUCUCCCACACCUCCACUCUCCAGCAUCCUUCAAUGUCACCUCCUCCAGGGAACUCUUCUCUGAACCCAGUCACCCUGAGAUGCUUUCAGCGUCCUGUACCUUCCUUCCAGGCAAAUUUCUUGGUUUAAGCUGGCUUUAGCCCACCGGCCGGAAAAGAGCUAGCUGGGAGAGAAGUGCCUCGCAGACCUGGUGGGGCAGGAGAGGACAGCAAUCUGAGCUCACUGCAUGUCCUCUGGUAGGACUUGAAAUCGGAACGCCAACCCCAGACGGCCCCUUCUGGGCAUGCCCAGAGCUGCGAGUGCAGAGCUGAGGGCACAGUGCCCAGGACAGAGGCUGAGGGAGGGGCUGGCCUGUGCCCGAGGGCCCAUCAGCCCCCAGCCCUGGUCCCCAAGAGGUCAGCCCACCCUUCUGACCCAGGUGCUCAAGGCUAAGAAGCGGCACCUGCUUCCUGGGUGAAGCCCCGUCAGACCCCAGUGUGAUGUUUAGUGACGAGGCCUCAGGAAGAACAGGAAGGAACCCUGCUCUGGGGACUGACUGGAAGAGCCACUCUGCCUUUCCGGGGCCAACCUGGCAACAUGGAGGUUUCCUAGAAACAGAAUGUCGCUGGAAAACCCCCACCACACGCAGUCACUUGCCAGCGUUGUCACCAGGACCACGUGAGAAGGUGCACACCCCGAAGGAGGCGCUCCCGGGGCACCUGGACCCCCCGCCCCGAGGCCCCCAAAUAGUGCAGGCGGCUCAGAGCUGCACCCUGCCAGCACACACGGCCUCCGGAGGGGACGUGAGAAGCCAGUCUUUCCCUUUGUAACCUUUAACAUGCUGCUGUGUUGUCAACGAGACUUCAGUUAAGGAUAAAAAUAAAAAUUAAAUUAAAUGCUGCUGUGGCUUUUUAAAUGUCUGGGUAAAAACCCAGGCGUGCAAGCGCCGCAAG